rnacentral:rRNA from 1 species
CCCAGACUCCUACGGGAGGCAGCAGUGGGGGAUAUUGCACAAUGGGGGGAACCCUGAUGCAGCGACGCCGCGUGGGUGAAGGAGUAUUUCGGUAUGUAAAGCCCUAUCGGCAGGGAAGAAGGAGGACGGUACCUGACUAAGAAGCCCCGGCUAACUACGUGCCAGCAGCCGCGGUAAUACGUAGGGGGCAAGCGUUAUCCGGAUUUACUGGGUGUAAAGGGGGCGCAGACGGCAGCGCAAGCCAGGAGUGAAAGCCCGGGGCCCAACCCCGGGACUGCUCUGGAAACUGCGGCGCUGGAGUACGGGAGGGGCAGGCGGAAUUCCUGGUGUAGCGGUGAAAUGCGUAGAUAUCAGGAGGAACACCGGCGGCGAAGGCGGCCUGCUGGACGGCGACUGACGUUGAGGCCCGAAAGCGUGGGGAGCAAACAGGAUUAGAUACCCCGGUAGGA